AAAUGAGCCGGGGCUGGCCGGGCCGGAGCCGCUACAGGGGGGGCCUGAGGCACUGCAGAAAGUGGGCCUGAGCCUCGAGGAUGACGGUGCUGCAGGAACCCGUCCAGGCUGCUAUAUGGCAAGCACUAAACCACUAUGCUUACCGAGAUGCGGUUUUCCUCGCAGAACGCCUUUAUGCAGAAGGUUUGAAAUCUAUUCAUUGCUGUAGAAUGAUAAAUGAAUAACAUAUAUGAAAUUCCAUAACUUUUUAUCACUGUAACAAGAUUCUAGCUAUCAUCAUCUUGUUGUUUUUCUGAUUGACACUAGUUCAUAAAAUCUUCACUUUUUUUCUGUGUAGUUCCCUUACAUACUACUUUUAAUAACUAUGUAGAAUUGAUUCAGGUUUAUAUGCUAUGAUUUACUUAAUCAUUUUUCAAUCUUUAGGUUUUUUUUUCCCCCAGGGUUUUUGUUGUUUUGGGUGUUU
rnacentral:sRNA from 1 species